GGCCUUGUGGCUCAAUGGCAGAGCGUCUGACUACGACUGAUCUCCUGAGAGGGAAUUCAUUAGCGUCAUCAGAAGGUCGCAGGUUCGACCCCUGUCUAGGUCA